rnacentral:misc_RNA from 1 species
AAGUCGUAACAAGGUUUCCGUAGGUGAACCUGCGGAAGGAUCAUUAUUGAAAUAAACCUGAUGAGUUGCUGCUGGUUCUCUAGGGAACAUGUGCACGCUUGUCAUCUUUAUAUUUCCACCUGUGCACCUUUUGUAGACUUGGAUAUCUUUCUGAAUGCAUUUUCAGGUUUGAGGAUUGAUUUGCUUGUCUGUCCUUACAUUUCCAGGUCUAUGUUUAUUCAAGUACACCCUAAUUAUGUUAUAGAAUGUAAUAAAGUGAGCCUUUAGCGCUUAUAAACCUUUAUACAACUUUCAGCAACGGAUCUCUUGGCUCUC